CCUCUCUCCACCACCUGCUGGUCCUGUUUCACACUGAUCCUCAGUUUCAGGAGGACAGUCUGUCUGACUCAUCAGACUGUGAGGAUUCUCUCUCUGCACAUCUGGCUUUGGGAGGAGGAAAAACAGCAGAUUAAGGAGUUGGACUCAACCAAAGCAGACUCCGUGGAGAUGUGGAAGAGCUGCUUGUCUAACUACAAACACACAGUUGUCUCU